rnacentral:rRNA from 1 species
GACAGAGGCCCCGAGCGUUAGGCGGAAUCACUGGGCUUAAAGCGUGUGUAGGCGGAAGCGUAAGUGUCUUGUGAAAUCCCACGGCUCACCCGUGGAACCGCGGGGCAUACUGCGCUUCUUGGGCCGUUCAGGGGCGACUGGAACAAGCGGUGGAGCGGUGAAAUGCGUAGAUAUCGCGUGGAACGCCGAAGGCGAAAACAGGUCGCUGGGGAAGCGCCGACGCUGAGACACGAAAGCCAGGGGAGCAAACGGG